rnacentral:lncRNA from 1 species
UCAAGACUCUGAAGACCAAGAUUCUGAAGACUCUCAUACAGACUCUGAUUCUUCUUCUAUGCAUACUUCAUAAACUUUCCAUCUGAAGUCUCUGAAUAAAUGAAGAUAAGAUCAAAAAGGUUUUACGUGAGAAAUAGUACUAAAUACAAGAUCAAAUAUUCUUUCCACUAUGUUAAUUUUGUAGGAAAAGGAUUGUACUAUUGUACCAUUAUGU